rnacentral:rRNA from 1 species
GACGAACGCUGGCGGCGUGCCUAAUACAUGCAAGUCGAACGCAGUGGGGACGGGUAAGUAACACGUGGGUAACCUCCCAUCAGAGGGGAUAACACUUGGAAACAGGUGCUAAACCGACACUGAUGGAUGGACUCGCGGUGGAUUAGCUAGUUGGUGGGGUAACGGCUCACCAAGGCCACGAUGCAUAGCCGACCUGAUAGGGUGAUCUGACACACGGGGACUGAGACACGGCCCAGACUCCUACGGGAGGCAUCAGUAGGGAAUCUUCGGCAAUGGACGAAAGUCUGACCGAGCCACGCCGCGUGAGUGAAGAAGGUUUUCGGAUCGUAAAGCUCUGUUGUUAGAGAAGCGGUAUCUAACCAGAAAGCCACGGCGAACUACGUGCCAACCGCCGCGGUAAUUC